rnacentral:lncRNA from 1 species
ACUUCUAGGCUUGGUUGAGCCGCGCAGGAAGGUCCGAGGCUGGGGGAGCAGCCGUUGGCUCUGGUGCCCCUGGGGGUGGGAGCACGAGUGGGCAAGGAUGAUGGUGAGGCAGAGGAGGCGGCCCCGAGGGAGCGCCCGGCUGAGAGGCGGGGGGCCGAGGGGCCCGGGGAGCGGGCGUCACCGAGGGCCCUGGAAGCGGCAGGGCUGGGGGAGAGGAGACGCGUGUGUGGAGCAUGGGGACCCCAGCCCAGCUCCCACUUGCAGACCUGGGCCGCGGGCUGCCGGCCGAGUGGCCGGGGGGCCUGGCUGCCCAGGAGGCGGGCCGGGGCCGCGGCCGGGGGCGCGGAGCGGAGUUAGGGUCGCCAGGCCGAGCCGAGGUGGGACGGACCGACGCAGAGAGGAAGGGAAGCCACCUGGCCUGAAGAUCCUGUCUCUAAGAUCCCAUUCUGAGAGUUUUGCUCUUCUUGCCCAGGCUGGAGUGCAAUGGCAUGAUGUUGGCUCACCACAACCUCCACUUCCUGGGUUCAAGUGAUUCUCCUGCCUCAGCCUCCUGUGUAGCUGGGAUUACAGGCAUGCUCCACCACGACCGACUAAUUUUGCAUUUUUAGUAGAGACGGGAUUUCUCCAUGUUGUUCAUGUUGGUUUCGAACUCCCAACCUCAGGUGAUCUGCCUGCCUCCGCCUCCCAAAGUGCUGGGAUUACAGGUUGUGAGCCACUAUGCCCGGCCUCUCUUAAUCUAUUUCUGAGAGUUCUGUUACAUAUUCUGAUGUUUAAUCUUCAGUUAUAUGUAUUAGAUAUCUUCCACCAAAGUACAGUUUGCCUUUUAAUUUUAUUAGAUUUUCUAUUGCAUGUUGAAAAGUAGGUGAUAUUUUUGUGUCUUAU